rnacentral:rRNA from 1 species
GAUGAACGCUGGCGGCGUGCCUAAUACAUGCAAGUCGAGCGAACAGACGAGGAGCUUGCUUCUCUGAUGUUAGCGGCGGACGGGUGAGUAACACGUGGAUAACCUACCUAUAAGACUGGGAUAACUUCGGGAAACCGGAGCUAAUACCGGAUAAUAUUUUGAACCGCAUGGUUCAAUAGUGAAAGACGGUCUUGCUGUCACUUAUAGAUGGAUCCGCGCUGCAUUAGCUAGUUGGUAAGGUAACGGCUUACCAAGGCAACGAUGCAUAGCCGACCUGAGAGGGUGAUCGGCCACACUGGAACUGAGACACGGUCCAGACUCCUACGGGAGGCAGCAGUAGGGAAUCUUCCGCAAUGGGCGAAAGCCUGACGGAGCAACGCCGCGUGAGUGAUGAAGGUCUUCGGAUCGUAAAACUCUGUUAUUAGGGAAGAACAAAUGUGUAAGUAACUGUGCACAUCUUGACGGUACCUAAUCAGAAAGCCACGGCUAACUACGUG